rnacentral:lncRNA from 1 species
AAAGGAUCUGGGCAUGAGCAACUUGUAGCCUAUUGUCGUGGGAACCUAGAAAGUCUAGGGUUUUAUGGGUUGUGAGAAAAUAUCUAGCUUCAUCUUCCUCCAUUUCCAUUUAUUUUUGUCUCUUAGAUUGUCUAAGAGAAGAAGCCCAGAUCAACAUCAAGAGGGAUCUCUGUAAGAGAGCUAGCACCCUAGGAAGAUCAUCGACCUCUGAUUCGAGAAGUCCUCGUAUAGAUACUUGUGGAGGUCGGAUGUGUGCACAGCUAAAGGAACCAGUUUCAACUCUAUAGAUCAUCGAUUGCGGUGAAUUAUGACCCACGCAAAGGUGAUGAGAUCUGAUCUCAUUGUACAUUUGGAUAUGAUCUACACAUUUUUAAAUCAAUUUUAUAUAAGUCAUAGAUCCGGGGCUUUGGGUAGUCUUUAGAUAUGAUAUGUUGCAUGUGGGUUAAAAGGGUUUUAACCUAAUAUCGCUUCCGCUGUGAUUUUGAAAAGUUUUGAAAUCUAUACAUGCUUUCUACCUGAAUUUCAAAUAGUGGUAUCAGAGCCACUGGUUCUUUUGACAUAUAUAAAAUAGAUUUUUCUAAUUUAGAUCUGAAAAGUAGAUGGUUUUAAUUGAUCUUAUGCUGAAAUAAGGUUGUCCUAGUAUAGGGUGUUGCACCCUAUAUUGUGAAGAUUGUCCUAGCACAAGAUUGAUUAUUCUUGAAUAGUAUUUUUAAAAUUUAAAAUCAAUUUUUUAGAUCUGAAAUUAGAUGUUAAUUUUUUAAUUAGAUCUGAAAUUAGAAUGAUUAAAAGUUUGCAUCAGACUGUUAUAAGGUUAUCCUGAUAUAAGGUUUAUCCCCUAUAUUAAGGUUGUCCUAGUACGAUGUAAAUGAAGUUUUUGAAAAAGAUUUUCAAAGAUUUUAAUCAUUAUUUUAAAUCUGAUUAUGUUUUGCAUAUGAUGCAUGUUUUAAGUCUUGAUCCUCUAUGCAUAUAUUUGAUAUAUGUUAUGCUUCAUUUUAGAUCAAGAAAAAGAUAUAUAUAAUAUAUAAUUUUUGUACCCUCGAUCGAAAACUUAAUUUCAUGCAAAAUCUUAGAUUUGAAACCCUAGGUUUGUUGCAUGUGAAAUUCAAAAGACACCAAUUUGAAGAUAGAAAAAUUAUGUAAGACAUAAUUAAAAUUGNNNNNNNNNNNNNNNNNNNNUUUGAAUGUCAAAAGAGCUUGGUCGACCAGCCCUAACUUUCUUUUGGAUAAGGAUAAAAACUUGUUUGAAUCUGGAUUCAAAUUGAAUUUGAAUUCAAGUUCAAACAGGGUUGUUAUCAUAUUGGUUCUUAUCCUCAUCUAAACCUUAUAGCCUAUCAUUAAAAAGGCCUCUUCUCUUAGCUAUGAAUAAUGAUGGUUUUCAUCUGAUUUUGGCUGACUAAAGAGAGGAGAGAAAGGAUCUGGGCAUGAGCAACUUGUAGCCUAUUGUCGUGGGAACCUAGAAAGUCUAGGGUUUUAUGGGUUGUGAGAAAAUAUCUAGCUUCAUCUUCCUCCAUUUCCAUUUAUUUUUGUCUCUUAGAUUGUCUAGGAGAAGAAGCCCAGAUCAACAUCAAGAGGGAUCUCUAUAAGAGAGCUAGCACCCUAGGGAGAUCAUCGACCUCUGAUUCGAGAAGUCCUCGUAUAGAUACUUG